CAAGUUGAGAAAUAAGUUAUAAAGUUGAGUGAAGACUCUCAGUUGGAGAAGGAAAUUUGGCAAACCCAGCGUGAUGCAGUGCAGACUGACCUGUGCUCUCUCAUCAGAUCAGAGAUGGUGCCAGCUCCAUCUCCUGCCUGUGCCACAGCUGAGGAUCUGGGACCUCACUUUAUCUGCCCCUGUUAAAGAGUUACAUCUGCAGAUUUUUACAGCAGAAGUCAGGCUACCUGGGAUAAUGGACAAAGCAUCCACAAUAAUUGCCUCUUCUCACUGUUCUUGGGGGCACAAGAAUGCGGCUCUCAAAAGGAUUUGGACCCUGACAUUAUCCCCUUGGGGCCACAUCACUGAAAGAUUCUCCUGAAGUAGCCAGAAAUAUUUCCUGGGGAGCCUGUGGUUUGAAAAUUUCCAGUCUGGUGAAGCAGAAGAAAUUGGGAAAACAGCCAUGUUUUUCUUGCAGAAAUGUUGAAUUGCUUCCAGGUGGCAGAUGGUAAAGGAUCCCACCCUCAUUUUGGCUAGAUCUGCAACUGGCUGGAAAGCAGCUUUUCUUCUGUGUUGUGCGAUCUGUCAUGGGAAUUCUCUGAGAGAAAAUAAAAGCAGAGUUCAAAGUCAGGAAUGUAUCAGUCUCUUAUCAAGGGGAUCACUUCCAGCUGGAGUGAUCCUUGUGAAACACGUGUGAACACCGAAACCGGAAUUUUUGGAAACAGCAGUGUAUGUAAAAUUGGCAGAAAAUCACAAUUACUCUGGGGAUCAGAAUAACUGGAAGGAGAGCACCAGCGAGCCUGGAAAGACUCUUGGAUCAGCAGGACAAGGAAUGGCUCCUGCAGAAUUGCUGGCUGUCUGUGCCAAGACGCUGCCAGGCUGAAGAGAGCUGCUGGGGAUGUGGCACUGCUCAAAGCCACGGAUUCCUUGCAGCCUUUGGGCUCUGGUGGGCUGGAUGAGGAACAAGCUGAUGGCCAGGCUCGCUUGUGGCCAUCCUGCCCUCAUCCUUCACAAGGGCCACUUGUCAGAGGCUGCUGUGAGGAACAGGCUCUGCUGAGUGUCUUUGUAAACUCUUAUUGUUUCCUGAGUGCUAAUGAGUAAAUAAUGGAGAGAGCUUGUAGGAACAGGCAUCCCAUUUAGCAAUUUAUAACCUAUUGACCGCUGGGCUUAGUUGAUUUGAAAUUACAACGUGCCUCUCCUCCCCGCCUCAUUUUUUAAAUUCUUGGCUUAUGUACAA